rnacentral:lncRNA from 1 species
ACAUCUGGAAAACUCCAAUGCACACAUGUGAGAGUAUAAUAUGGACUUUGGAGCUGGGCAGCCCUUUUGUGACCAUGAGGCAACAUUGAAGAUGCAAGCCACAUGCUAAGACAGAAGAAAAUAAAGACAGAACUAAGCUGGGGCAUGUAUGACAUUUCAAGCUCUCAGAUCAGCCCUUGAUGGCCACCAUCCAUAUUUAUUGACAUGAAAAGAAGUCCUCAUUUUGUCAAAGCCAAUGAUAUUCAGGACUGUUAUUAAUAACAAAAUACAAUUCUUCCCUCUACCC